rnacentral:rRNA from 1 species
AUGUCUAAUGUUUUUUCGCCUGGGGAAUUAAUCGGACUAUUGCGAGCGGAACGAGCAGGGCGAGCUUUGGAUGAAUCGAUCUAUUAUCGGGCAAUCUUAUUGGGAAUAACAAGGGCUUCCCUGAAUACCCAAAGUUUCAUAUCUGAAGCAAGUUUUCAAGAAACUGCUCGAGUUUUAGCAAAAGCUGCCCUACGAGGUCGCAUUGAUUGGUUGAAAGGCUUGAAAGAAAACGUAGUUCUGGGGGGGAUUAUACCUGUUGGUACCGGAUUCCAAAAAUUUGUGCAUCGUUCCCCACAAGACAAGAACCUUUAUUUCUAA